GCAGCAGCCGCGGUAAUACGAAGGGGGCUAGCGUUGUUCGGAAUUACUGGGCGUAAAGCGCACGUAGGCGGUUAUUCAAGUCAGAGGUGAAAGCCCGGGGCUCAACCCCGGAACUGCCUUUGAAACUAGAUGACUAGAAUCUUGGAGAGGUCAGUGGAAUUCCGAGUGUAGAGGUGAAAUUCGUAGAUAUUCGGAAGAACACCAGUGGCGAAGGCGACUGACUGGACAAGUAUUGACGCUGAGGUGCGAAAGCGUGGGGAGCAAACAGGAUUAGAUACCCGAGUAGUCCCUGUCUCUUAUAC
rnacentral:rRNA from 1 species